GCGGCGGACGGGUGAGUAAUGCCUAGGAAUCUGCCUGGUAGUGGGGGACAACGUUUCGAAAGGAACGCUAAUACCGCAUACGUCCUACGGGAGAAAGCAGGGGACCUUCGGGCCUUGCGCUAUCAGAUGAGCCUAGGUCGGAUUAGCUAGUUGGUGAGGUAAUGGCUCACCAAGGCGACGAUCCGUAACUGGUCUGAGAGGAUGAUCAGUCACACUGGAACUGAGACACGGUCCAGACUCCUACGGGAGGCAGCAGUGGGGAAUAUUGGACAAUGGGCGAAAGCCUGAUCCAGCCAUGCCGCGUGUGUGAAGAAGGUCUUCGGAUUGUAAAGCACUUUAAGUUGGGAGGAAGGGCAGUAAAUUAAUACUUUGCUGUUUUGACGUUACCGACAGAAUAAGCACCGGCUAACUCUGUGCCAGCAGCCGCGGUAAUACAGAGGGUGCAAGCGUUAAUCGGAAUUACUGGGCGUAAAGCGCGCGUAGGUGGUUCGUUAAGUUGGAUGUGAAAUCCCCGGGCUCAACCUGGGAACUGCAUCCAAAACUGGCGAGCUAGAGUAUGGUAGAGGGUGGUGGAAUUUCCUGUGUAGCGGUGAAAUGCGUAGAUAUAGGAAGGAACACCAGUGGCGAAGGCGACCACCUGGACUGAUACUGACACUGAGG
rnacentral:rRNA from 1 species